rfam:Eurypyga helias contig112880, whole genome shotgun sequence.
GUUAAAAGCUAGGGCUAGGACUUGGAGGAUGUGUAGGCAAACGGAAGGAGAGCCGAGGGAAGAAAAACCGAAAUGGAUUCAUUCUCUGUCCUGGAUGGAGGAGGAGAGGAGAAGAGAAGGGGACGUGCGAGCUUCCUUCAACUGCCUCUGUCCGGUGAAAAGUGCUCAGACCCCCGGGGCUGAGCGGGGCUCAAGAGUCCGCGCGGACUUUCGUUUUAGGCUGCCAAUCAAACCGCUAACUAGCCACCACCCUGCUCUGGCACCGACAU